AUUGAACGCUAGCGGGAUGCCUUACACAUGCAAGUCGAACGGAGUGGCGAACGGGUGAGUAAUGUAUCGGAACGUGCCCAGUAGCGGGGGAUAACUACGCGAAAGCGUAGCUAAUACCGCAUACUAUUGGAGCGGCCGAUAUCGGAUUAGCUAGUUGGUGGGGUAACGGCUCACCAAGGCGACGAUCCGUAGCUGGUUUGAGAGGACGACCAGCCACACUGGGACUGAGACACGGCCCAGACUCCUACGGGAGGCAGCAGUGGGGAAUUUUGGACAAUGGGGGAAACCCUGAUCCAGCCAUCCCGCGUGUGCGAUGAAGGCCUUCGGGUUGUAAAGCACUUUUGGCAGGAAAGCGGUACCUGCAGAAUAAGCACCGGCUAACUACGUGCCAGCAGCCGCGGUAAUACGUAGGGUGCAAGCGUUAAUCGGAAUUACUGGGCGUAAAGCGUGCGCAGGCGGUUCGGAAGAAAGAUGUGAAAUCCCAGAGCUUAACUUUGGAACUGCAUUUUUAACUACCGGGCUAGAGUGUGUCAGAGGGAGGUGGAAUUCCGCGUGUAGCAGUGAAAUGCGUAGAUAUGCGGAGGAACACCGAUGGCG
rnacentral:rRNA from 1 species